AGCGUGGAGACAGGUGGUGCAUGGCUGUCGUCAGCUCGUGUCGUGAGAUGUUGGGUUAAGUCCCGCAACGAGCGCAACCCUCACCCCUUGUUGCUACCAGGUAAAGCUGGGCACUCUAGGGGAACUGCCCCGGUCAACGGGGAGGAAGGCGGGGAUGACGUCAAGUCAUCAUGCCCCUUACGUCCUGGGCUACACACGUGCUACAAUGGCCGGUACAAAGGGAUGCCACACCGCGAGGUAGAGCUAAACCCAAAAAGCCGGUCUAAGUUCAGAUUGGAGUCUGCAACUCGACUCCACGAAGGAGGAAUCGCUAGUAAUCGCGUAUCAGCACGACGCGGUGAAUACGUUCCCGGGCCUUGUACACACCGCCCGUCACACCACGAAAGCCAGCUGUACUCGAAGUCGCUGAG
rnacentral:rRNA from 1 species